CUGGAGGUAUCAGAAGUGCGAAUGCUGACAUAAGUAACGAUAAAGCGGGUGAAAAGCCCGCUCGCCGGAAGACCAAGGGUUCCUGUCCAACGUUAAUCGGGGCAGGGUGAGUCGACCCCUAAGGCGAGGCCGAAAGGCGUAGUCGAUGGGAAACGGGUUAAUAUUCCCGUACUUGGUGUUACUGCGAAGGGGGGACGGAGAAGGCUAUGUUGGCCGGGCGACGGUUGUCCCGGUUUAAGCGUGUAGGUGUGUGUUCCAGGUAAAUCCGGUUCACUUUAACACUGAGGCGUGACGACGAGGCACUACGGUGCUGAAGCAACAAAUGCCCUGCUUCCAGGAAAAGCCUCUAAGCAUCAGGUAACAUCAAAUCGUACCCCAAACCGACACAGGUGGUCAGGUAGAGAAUACCAAGGCGCUUGAGAGAACUCGGGUGAAGGAACUAGGCAAAAUGGUGCCGUAACUUCGGGAGAAGGCACGCUGACAUGUAGGUGAAGUGAUUUACUCAUGGAGCUGAAGUCAGUCGAAGAUACCAGCUGGCUGCAACUGUUUAUUAAAAACACAGCACUGUGCAAACACGAAAGUGGACGUAUACGGUGUGACGCCUGCCCGGUGCCGGAAGGUUAAUUGAUGGGGUCAGCGCAAGCGAAGCUCCUGAUCGAAGCCCCGGUAAACGGCGGCCGUAACUAUAACGGUCCUAAGGUAGCGAAAUUCCUUGUCGGGUAAGUUCCGACCUGCACGAAUGGCGUAAUGAUGGCCAGGCUGUCUCCACCCGAGACUCAGUGAAAUUGAACUCGCUGUGAAGAUGCAGUGUACCCGCGGCAAGACGGAAAGACCCCGUGAACCUUUACUAUAGCUUGACACUGAACAUUGAGCCUUGAUGUGUAGGAUAGGUGGGAGGCUUUGAAGUGUGG
rnacentral:rRNA from 3 species